UGGGGAAUAUUGGACAAUGGGCGCAAGCCUGAUCCAGCAAUGCCGCGUGGGUGAAGAAGGUCUUCGGAUCGUAAAGCCCUUUCGACAGGGACGAUGAUGACGGUACCUGUAGAAGAAGCCCCGGCUAACUUCGUGCCAGCAGCCGCGGUAAUACGAAGGGGGCUAGUGUUGCUCGGAAUUACUGGGCGUAAAGGGCGCGUAGGCGGCUUGGCCAGUCAGGCGUGAAAUUCCUGGGCUUAACCUGGGGACUGCGCUUGAUACUGCCAGGCUCGAGGCCGAGAGAGGGUGGUGGAAUUCCCAGUGUAGAGGUGAAAUUCGUAGAUAUUGGGAAGAACACCGGUGGCGAAGGCGACCACCUGGCUCGGUACUGACGCUGAGGCGCGACAGCGUGGGGAGCAAACA
rnacentral:rRNA from 1 species